AUGCUGCACUAUCUCCGUUUCGUCGUCCCGCCGGCCGGUGACGUGGCGGGCUCGCUCCAGUGGGCUGGGUCGUUGUUGGCGCCGCUGAUAUACCCCGCCCGCCACAGCAGCAAGCUCCAGGAACUCUGGUCCGAGCUGGUCACGAACAUGGAAGUGGCCAUUCCGUCGGGGACCACACGCCUCAAGUUGAUCAUUGAUGUCGGCAUCCUCCGGCUCGAGAACUACAUCCAGUGGCGCAUUGAUGCGGUGAUGGACGCGCUGCAAGGCAUGAUAGCGGAGCCAUGGCCCGGGUACCACGUCGGCAUGGAGCUGCGCCUGCCAGAGCCGGUGCAUGUGCAGUGCGCGGAUGAAGAUGAAGUCGCCGACGACGACUGCGAGCGGCCGACGAAGUGGAGGAGGAUCGUCAUGGAGGAGGGCGCUGGGCAGGAGUGCCCCGUCUGCUUCGAGCCGCUGGAGAGCGACGCCGCCGCGUGA
rnacentral:rRNA from 1 species